rnacentral:rRNA from 1 species
AUUGAACGCUGGCGGCAUGCCUUACACAUGCAAGUCGAACGGAUUCAGGGGCUUGCUCCUGAGUUAGUGGCGAACGGGUGAGUAAUGCAUCGGAACGUGCCCAGUCGUGGGGGAUAACUACUCGAAAGAGUAGCUAAUACCGCAUACGUCCUGAGGGAGAAAGCGGGGGAUCGCAAGACCUCGCGCGAUUGGAGCGGCCGAUGUCGGAUUAGCUAGUUGGCGGGGUAAAGGCCCACCAAGGCGACGAUCCGUAGCUGGUCUGAGAGGAUGAUCAGCCACACUGGAACUGAGACACGGUCCAGACUCCUACGGGAGGCAGCAGUGGGGAAUUUUGGACAAUGGGGGAAACCCUGAUCCAGCCAUGCCGCGUGAGUGAAGAAGGCCUUCGGGUUGUAAAGCUCUUUCGGACGGAAAGAAAUCGCACGGGAUAACACCCUGUGCGGAUGACGGUACCGUAAGAAGAAGCACCGGCUAACUACGUGCCAGCCGCCGCGGUAACAC